rnacentral:rRNA from 1 species
UGGCCUACCAAGGCGACGACGGGUAGCCGGCCUGAGAGGGCGACCGGCCACACUGGGACUGAGACACGGCCCAGACUCCUACGGGAGGCAGCAGUGGGGAAUAUUGCACAAUGGGCGAAAGCCUGAUGCAGCGACGCCGCGUGAGGGAUGACGGCCUUCGGGUUGUAAACCUCUUUCAGCUCCGAAGAAGCGCAAGUGACGGUAGGAGCAGAAGAAGCACCGGCUAACUACGUGCCAGCAGCCGCGGUAAUACGUAGGGUGCAAGCGUUGUCCGGAAUUAUUGGGCGUAAAGAGCUCGUAGGCGGUGUGUCGCGUCUGCUGUGAAACUCAGGGCUCAACUUCUGAGCUUGCAGUGGGUACGGGCACACUUGAGUGCUGUAGGGGAGACUGGAAUUCCUGGUGUAGCGGUGAAAGCGCAGAUAUCAGGAGGAACACCGGUGGCGAAGGCGGGUCUCUGGGCAGUUACUGACGCUGAGGAGCGAAAGCAUGGGGAGCGAACAGGAUUAGAUACCCUGGUAGUCCAUGCCGUAAACGUUGGGCGCUAGGUGUGGGGUCCAUUCCACGGAUUCCGUGCCGCAGCUAACGCAUUAAGCGCCCCGCCUGGGGAGUACGGCCGCAAGGCUAAAACUCAAAGGAAUUGACGGGGGCCCGCACAAGCGGCGGAGCAUGCGGAUUAAUUCGAUGCAACGCGAAGAACCUUACCAAGGCUUGACAUGCGCGGUGGAAUCCCAGAGAUGGGGUGUCAUUUAGUUGGUCGCGUACAGGUGGUGCAUGGUUGUCGUCAGCUCGUGUCGUGAGAUGUUGGGUUAAGUCCCGCAACGAGCGCAACCCUCGUUCCAUGUUGCCAGCACUUCGGGUGGGGACUCAUGGGAGACUGCCGGGGUCAACUCGGAGGAAGGUGGGGAUGACGUCAAAUCAUCAUGCCCCUUAUGUCUUGGGCUUCACGCAUGCUACAAUGGCCAGUACAGAGGGCUGCGAUACCGUGAGGUGGAGCGAAUCCCAAAAAGCUGGUCUCAGUUCGGAUCGGGGUCUGCAACUCGACCCCGUGAAGUCGGAGUCGCUAGUAAUCGCAGAUCAGCAACGCUGCGGUGAAUACGUUCCCGGGCCUUGUACACACCGCCCCGUCACGUCAUGAAAGUCGGUAACACCCGAAGCCGGUGGCCCAACCCGU